rnacentral:rRNA from 1 species
UACGGAGGGUGCAAGCGUUAUCCGGAUUCACUGGGUUUAAAGGGUGCGUAGGUGGGUCUGUAAGUCCGUGGUGAAAUCUCCGAGCUUAACUUGGAAACUGCCAUGGAUACUAUAGGUCUUGAAUAUUGUGGAGGUCAGCGGAAUAUGUCAUGUAGCGGUGAAAAUGCUUAGAUAUGACAUAGAACACCAAUUGCGAAGGCAGCUGGCUACACAUAUAUUGACACUGAGGCACGAAAGCGUGGGGAUCAAACAGG